GAAUGUAACCAUUUUCAAUGAUUUAAAAUACAUGUUUACGUUCAUGAUCACAAUUGACCAGAAACACAAUACUAGCUGGUUGAGUCAUUGAUAAUUGUUCAACUCACUCAGACCUCAGGCGUGUGCCAGGGAUCACAUUGUUCUAACAGUAUGUUGGUUAGGUUUAUAAUCAUACCUGUCCGCUCCCUUUUCGCCAACAUCUUCUGAGAAAUUGCUCCGCUGCUGGCCCGUCUCUCCGCAUGCCUGCCUGACUUCCUUCUCAAUUAUAUGGCUGCUCUUUGGGCGUUUAUUUGUCUAAAGUUCAUGUACAGUAUGCAUACAAAUUUUCUCCGAGGGGAACAAACACGGCUCAGCGGAGCGUGGCGGCUAACCACGCAGGCAGCAGGAAAGGAGAUGGAGGGGAAACAGAUCAGAGGCUUAGUCGCAGUUUUCCUUCAAGGCGAACCUGAGGGUUGCCUCAAACACCUUUGUAUCAUAAGCCAGCACGCCUGGCUCAACUCUCUGCAGUUAACGUAGUUUCCUUAACGAGAUACGCACUGUAGUUACAUACAGAGCCGCACAGAUGAUCAAGGUUGGGCCGACUGGCAAGGGUGCCACGGAACAUGCACAGAAAUAUGCUCAACAUUUGACAGCUGAUGUGUGCCAAAUAGGACGAGCAGACUGUAAAGUGUCGACAUGCAGCUACGGUGACGAAGCGGAGGAGCAAAUGUUUCUGGUUUGGAAGUGGCAAGCAGACGACGUGUGGGAGCAUGAGGGGGAUUGGAGUCAGGUUGCCUCACCUGAAGAGGCACCGCGUGAAGAAACAGGGGAGUGCAUGCUGGGUAAUGCAAUUAGGUUACCAUGCAAGGAAAUGACACACAUUGGCUCAGAACUGAAGAGAUGAAUCAACGAGAUGAAUCAGAAAAGGGAUCCCACCAUGCAACGGUAUUUGCUUGUCAUUGGUGUAGUUAACAAGAGGAUGUUAAGUGCCUCCCUCAUCGCCAUGGAGAUCUAAAGAAUGUGCUUGUGGUCAUGGUGACGAGGGCUGGCUGGGGAAAAGGAUAUGGCGGUUUCCUGCACCUUAGACAAACACACCCCCGCUCCGGUGCUAAAUGGCCGGGGUCAGACAGUCAAAACAUAAUUAUCACCCGAUCGCCUGUUGACCUGCUUACCUGACAUUAACCUUGGUCUGCACUAACGGGAGGUGCCGGUUGCCUCAGGGGGGCCAGAUGCUAAUUUGAAGCAGAGUUAGCAGUGAGAGGGCUGGGGGGGUAAUUGCAGCGAUCUAAUAGGGAUCAGUGCCGUGGGAGAUCUCCGUACAUCUGUCGUCUGGCGAAGAACCGCUGCACCUGAGACUCACCAGCUUGGCAGUGCUCACGCUCCACUGUGGGAUUUCAAGAGAGAUGAAGGGUUUCACGGUGAGACUACUGGCAGUCGUGCGGUUCCGUGUUUGAAGAACCUGUCACCUGUCCCGGAUAGACUGAAAAGACAAACACUUAUAUGGGCACUCUACAGGCAAUGAGACAAAGGAGCAUUUAAAUCUUUUUCCACAAUGCCAAUUUUGAACUUCUAAAAUCACACAAAUACAAAGAUAUCCCAAUAUUGAAAUAUUUUCUUCUUCUUGAGCAACUUGAAUGUAAUGUAAAUCGGAAAUUGUUGUCCCCAUAUGCAAAGACAAACCUCCCAAGCACAGCUGGGGAGAACAAAGAUGUAUUUUUGUUAUCGUGUCGCUUUUGUUUCACUACUCAUCAAAAGUCAUAAAUACACUAUUAAUUGUGUUGAUCUUGUACCAGUAACUUUUUUAACCCUUGUUUGACAGUUGGGAAAAUCAACGUGUUACUUAAUCAGCUCCAGAUUUCAACUAGGACAGUUUUAAACAUUUUCAAAUAAUUUCAUAUGGGGAGAAAUGUGCAAUAUAUCCUGUUUAUGGAGUGUUUGGGUUUCAUGCAAAACAUUCCAAGUAAAAUGUAAGAAAAGAAAAACUUCUCAAAAAAAA